CUGUAUAUGGUGUGGGGGCGGUGUUUAUGUUGCUACUAGCCUUUUCCCACAUGGUGCUUCCUUCUAGUAUAUUUCUGUCAUUUAUAAGAUAGGUUUAGAGAUUUGUGCACAGCCAAUAUUUGAUCUCAUUAUUCUCACUCUUUGCGCAGUGUUGGUGAAGUAGAUCCGAAAUAAAAUUUUGACCAAAGAGAUGUGUUAUGUGAAAUUAAGUAAAAUAAUGUCAUUUCAGUGCAGGGAGGUGUGGCUGCUCUGCAUGCUUUACUCAAAAGAGGCCCGUCUCUGUGCAAGCAGAUAUCCUGCCAUAGUUGGCCCUAGAGAUCAUGUUGAGUGAGUCAAUGAAGGGAGCAGCCACAGUCACUGGGGAGAGCCUUUUUCUGCUCAGCCUGCAGGAAGGCCUGCUUCUCCAUCAGCUUGCGGAAGAGCCCCUGGUCAUUGGCAAGGAGUUGGGCAUGGCUGCCGAUCUCCAUCACGCGGUGCUGGUCCAUCACAGCCACGGCAUCCGCGCUCUGGAUGGUGGAGAGACGGUGAGCGAUGAUCAGCACUGUGCGAC